AUGAGUAUCAUCUGCUGGAACUGUCGAGGUUCGGGCAAAGCCUCGACAGUUCGUGAACUUCGUGAGAUCGUGAAGAAUUUUGCCCCUACCUUACUUUGUAUUCUAGAAACUCAAAUCAACAAAGUUAGGGUAGAAAGGCUAGCUACUUCUAUUGGUUUUGAUAAAGGAUAUGCCGUAAGCAGUGUUGAUAGAAGCGGAGGCAUCGAUUUGUUUUGGAAUAACGCAAUAAAUAUUGAUAUUAUGGGCUAUUCUGGCUAUCAUUUGGAUUGUGAGGUGCGUGACCCGGGUUUUGACCCGUGGAGGCUAACUAUGGUGUAUGGUGAGGCUCAAACUCACUUGAGAUACCAGACAUGGGACACUAUGAGAAACAUAGCAAAUUUAAGCACUCUGACAUGGCUCUGUAUCGGAGAUUUUAACGAAGUUUUACGUCCAGAAGAACAUGAGGGGGUUGGAGAGAGGAGUAAUGCUCAGAUCCAAGGUUUUAGGGACAUGGUUGAUACUUGCAUGUUGGUAGACGGCUAUAAAGGCAUAUUCUGGACUUUUGAGAAGAAGGUGUCCGGUGGCUCUUUCACAAGAGUAAGGCUGGACAAGGCUCUCGGGUCGACUGAUUGGUGUGAGCUAUUCCCAUUGGCAUGCCUUAAUCACCUAACGGCAGCGACCUCGGACCAUGGUUCGAUCCAGCUAGAGCUACACCCGACCGCGCAGGGGGACCAGGUACGGGACAAACUUUUUCGCUAUGAAGUUGUUGGAAAUAUGCCCUAG
rnacentral:rRNA from 1 species